GACGAACGCUGGCGGCGUGCCUAAUACAUGCAAGUCGAACGCACUCUCGUUUAGAUUGAAGGAGUUUGCUCCUGAUUGAUAAACAUUUGAGUGAGUGGCGGACGGGUGAGUAACACGUGGGUAACCUGCCCUAAAGUGGGGGAUAACAUUUGGAAACAGAUGCUAAUACCGCAUAAAACCUAACACCGCAUGGUGUAGGGUUGAAAGAUGGUUUCGGCUAUCACUUUAGGAUGGGCCCGCGGUGCAUUAGUUAGUUGGUGAGGUAAAGGCUCACCAAGACCGUGAUGCAUAGCCGACCUGAGAGGGUAAUCGGCCACACUGGGACUGAGACACGGCCCAGACUCCUACGGGAGGCAGCAGUAGGGAAUCUUCCACAAUGGACGAAAGUCUGAUGGAGCAACGCCGCGUGAGUGAAGAAGGUUUUCGGAUCGUAAAACUCUGUUGUUGGAGAAGAAUGUAUCUGAUAGUAACUGAUCAGGUAGUGACGGUAUCCAACCAGAAAGCCACGGCUAACUACGUG
rnacentral:rRNA from 1 species